AUUGCUUCCCAGCCUUCCAGCUCAGAUCAAGUGUAGUGUCUGCUCCUACAGAUUAAUACCUGAUACGUCCUCUGUCCGAGACAAUGAAUUCAGUGGAAUCUUUGGAGCCGGGAGAUGGGGUAGCAGGUUGCUGUACCCACUCCACACACUGAUGGUGUCGCAGCACUCCAGAAGUGGUACACCCUCA
ensembl:snRNA U2 U2 spliceosomal RNA